rnacentral:misc_RNA from 1 species
AAGUCGUAACAAGGUUUCCGUAGGUGAACCUGCGGAAGGAUCAUUAUCGUGGGGCUCCGGCCCCGUCGAGAAAACACCCUUGCCUUUAUGAGUACCUUGGUUCCCUCCCCCGACCUCCGGGGAGCGGGAGGGACCUCGUCUGUUUCCCCGCGAGGGGACCGCAAAACACGCUGUAAUCACCUGUAACCGUCUGAUAAAACAAACAAAAAAUCAAAACUUUCAACAACGGAUCUCUUGGUUCUG